CGCGGCCUAUCAGCUUGUUGGUGGGGUAACGGCCUACCAAGGCGACGACGGGUAGCCGGCCUGAGAGGGCGACCGGCCACACUGGGACUGAGACACGGCCCAGACUCCUACGGGAGGCAGCAGUGGGGAAUAUUGCGCAAUGGGCGAAAGCCUGACGCAGCGACGCCACGUGGGGGAUGAAGGCCUUCGGGUUGUAAACCCCUUUCAGCAGGGACGAAGCGAAAGUGACGGUACCUGCAGAAGAAGCGCCGGCUAACUACGUGCCAGCAGCCGCGGUAACACGUAGGGCGCAAGCGUUGUCCGGAAUUAUUGGGCGUAAAGAGCUCGUAGGCGGUCUGUUGCGUCCGCUGUGAAAACUCGGGGCUUAACCCCGAGCCUGCAGUGGAUACGGGCAGACUAGAGGUAGGUAGGGGAGAAUGGAAUUCUCGGUGUAGCGGUGAAAUGCGCAGAUAUCGGGAGGAACACCGGUGGCGAAGGCGGUUCUCUGGGCCUUACCUGACGCUGAGGAGCGAAAGCGUGGGGAGCGAACAGGAUUAGAUACCCUGGUAGUCCACGCCGUAAACGUUGGGCGCUAGGUGUGGGAUCCUUCCACGGAUUCCGUGCCGCAGCUAACGCAUUAAGCGCCCCGCCUGGGGAGUACGG
rnacentral:rRNA from 1 species